rnacentral:lncRNA from 1 species
UGACAAGUUUGCCAUUAAAGCCUCAUUGUGAUUACACUCGAGCUCUUCCAAAGUAUUAAUACAUUUUUUGGGGGGAGGCUUUUGCAGGAGAGGUAAGCACACACCAAAUCAACUUACCAUUGGGAAGUGGCAAGAGGCUUAGUAGUGGAUGCAACAGAGGUGUAGUUUGUUUGUAGCCUAACAUGAUAUAUUUUUCUUCUAGGUUUCAAAAAUCAUAGAAGAUUAUCUUGCUGAACAAAAUGUGGACAUUUGCGGUGCAUUAAUGGAAGGACGUGAUUCCAGUGUCUGAUUCCAAACCUUGCCAUGAGUUCCUGUUGCCUGAAUCAAGACCUGCAGACAAGUAGGGUAAAGACAAUAUUUCACGUCUGUUGCACACCUGCUUGAUGGAGUUCUCCAUUGCACCUGUAACCCCGCCCCCACAGUGAUGUCACGGUGCAACGACACACCCUGAAGUUCACCUCUACAUCACUGCAGAAAGGGAUGAAGAUUAAAAAACAUUUUCGGUUGCUUUGAAGUUGUUCUUAAACUGCACACAUCUUCUUCUCUCUUGUAA